AACCGUUAAGAGGCGUCGACUAACUUCUCUUGCCUCUAACGGUCACCUAGAACGUCUACAUGGAGGCCUAACGCUAGCUGGUAGAUUUCCGGGAACUUCCAGAAGCUUGUGUGGUCGAUUCUUCAUCUAAAUACGAGUAGAAGAUUUGCCUCGUGGACGACUAAUCAGUAAACCUUCCAGCAAGUCUAACGGUAAUAGGCUCAACUCAGAGGAAGUGGAGUCUCUCCUAUUGCACAAAAAUUAUGUCUGCCACUGGUGAAGAGGAUGGGAACAUACUUCAUCCACCUGAAAUUCAUGAAAUUCAAGAAAUUGAAGGACCACAAGCAAUUGAAACUCUCCUGAACUAUUGUCAGAUUAUAUUUAAAACUGUUCAACGAAUGGAAAAAAGGUUUGAUGAAAUUGAUGAAAAACUAACAAAAGUUUAUUAUGCUCGUUCCAGAUCCUUCUGGAAUUAUCCUCCUUUGAAAUCUGCAACCAGAAAGUACAAUUACUUGACGCCUAAAAAAAGACGUAAAGUGCAGAAAGUGAGAGAAGUAGUUGAUGAUGAUCCCUUUGCCUAUCCUCAAAGUUACAGUCCAACUUCACCAGUCCGAAGGAGGGAAGGAUAUAACCAGGAUAUGGAAAACAUCGAGCCCAUGGACUGCACUCUGCCUUUCCAGUACACUGAUACUAUUGACAACAGCCAGACUUUCCAGUACACCGAUACUGUCGACCUCAACCAGACUGUCCAGUACACC
rnacentral:lncRNA from 1 species